UCAUAUGCUUGUCUCAAAGAUUAAGCCAUGCAUGUCUAAGUAUAAGCAAAUUAUACCGCGAAACUGCGAAUGGCUCAUUAAAUCAGUAAUCGUCUAUUUGAUAGUACCUUACUACUUGGAUAACCGUGGUAAUUCUAGAGCUAAUACAUGCUGAAAAUCCCGACUUCGGAAGGGUUGUAUUUAUUAGAUUAAAAACCAAUGCCCUUCGGGGCUCCCUGGUGAUUCAUAAUAACUUCUCGAAUCANACGGCCUUGCGCCGGCGAUGGCUCAUUCAAAUUUCUGCCCUAUCAACUUUCGACGGCUUGGUCUUGGCCAGCCGUGGUGACAACGGGUAACGGAGGGUUAGGGCUCGGCCCCGGAGAAGGAGCCUGAGGAACGGCUACUACAUCCAAGGAAGGCAACAGGCGCGCAAAUUACCCAAUCCCGAUACGGGGAGGUAGUGACAAUAAAUACUGAUACAGGGCUCUUUUGGGUCUUGUAAUUGGAAUGAGUACAAUUUAAUUCCCUUAACGAGGAACAAUUGGAGGGCAAGUCUGGUGCCAGCAGCCGCGGUAAUUCCAGCUCCAAUAGCGUAUAUUAAAGUUGUUGCAGUUAAAAAGCUCGUAGUUGAACCUUGGGCCUGGCUGGCCGGUCCGCCUCACCGCGUGCACUGGUCCGGCCGGGCCUUUCCCUCUGGGGAACCGCAUGCCCUUCACUGGGCGUGCUGGGGAACCAGGACUUUUACUUUGAAAAAAUUAGAGUGUUCAAAGCAGGCUUAUGCUCGGAUACAUUAGCAUGGAAUAAUAGAAUAGGACGUGCGGUUCUAUUUUGUUGGUUUCUAGGACCGCCGUAAUGAUUAAUAGGGACAGUCGGGGGCAUCAGUAUUCAAUAGUCAGAGGUGAAAUUCUUGGAUCUAUUGAANACUAACUACUGCGAAAGCAUUUGCCAAGGAUGUUUUCAUUAAUCAGGAACGAAAGUUAGGGGAUCGAAGACGAUCANAUACCGUCGUAGUCUUAACCAUAAACUAUGCCGACUAGGGAUCGGACGGUGUUAUUAUUUGACCCGUUCGGCACCUUACACGAAAGUACAAGUUUCUGGGUUCUGGGGGGAGUAUGGUCGCAAGGCUGAAACUUAAAGGAAUUGACGGAAGGGCACCACCAGGGGUGGAGCCUGCGGCUUAAUUUGACUCAACACGGGGAAACUCACCAGGUCCAGACACGAUGAGGAUUGACAGAUUGAGAGCUCUUUCUUGAUUUCGUGGGUGGUGGUGCAUGGCCGUUCUUAGUUGGUGGAGUGAUUUGUCUGCCUAAUCGCGAUAACGAACGAGACCUUAACCUGCUAAAUAGCCCGCGUUGCUUUGGCAGCGCGCUGGCUUCUUAGAAGGGACUAUCGGCUCAAGCCGAUGGAAGUUUGAGGCAAUAACAGGUCUGUGAUGC
rnacentral:rRNA from 1 species